rnacentral:tRNA from 1 species
GGGGAUUUAGCUCAGUGGUGGAGCGCUUGCCUAGCAAGCACAAGGCCCUGGGUUCGGUCCCCAGUUCCA